rnacentral:snRNA from 1 species
GAGGCUCGAAACCACAGCA